GCUGGGCGUGGUGGCGCGUGCCUGUAAUCCCAGCUACUCGGGAGGCAGAGGCAGGAGAAUCGCUUGAACCAGGGAGGCAGAGGUUGCAGUGAGCCAAGACCUCGCUACUGCACUCCAGCCUGGGUGACAGAGUGAGAUUCUGUCUCAG
rfam:Gorilla gorilla gorilla genomic chromosome, chr7, whole genome shotgun sequence